rnacentral:rRNA from 1 species
GACGAACGCUGGCGGCGUGCUUAACACAUGCAAGUCGAGCGGUAAGGCCCUUUCGGGGGUACACGAGCGGCGAACGGGUGAGUAACACGUGGGUGACCUGCCCUCAGCUCUGGGAUAAGCCCGGGAAACUGGGUCUAAUACCGGAUAUGACUUCAUGACGCAUGUUGUGGAGUGGAAAGCCUUGUGCGGCUGAGGAUGGGCCCGCGGCCUAUCAGCUUGUUGGUGGGGUGANGGCCUACCAAGGCGACGACGGGUAGCCGGCCUGAGAGGGCGACCGGCCACACUGGGACUGAGAUACGGCCCAGACUCCUACGGGAGGCAGCAGUGGGGAAUCUUGCGCAAUGGGCGAAAGCCUGACGCAGCGACGCCGCGUGAGGGAUGA